rnacentral:lncRNA from 1 species
GUGCAAGAGAAAUUUUACCCAGAAGUGCCUCAACUGCUUUAAGCAGUCUUUUUUGGAGUGCAAUGGUAGCUACAAGCAAACGAAUCUUUUCAGCAGAAUGAAGCCUAUUUUUCAGCAUAUUGAAGAAUAUAUAGCACUGAAGACUUCCUGGAUGACACAAGAUAAACAAGUUACCUCUGAAUUCAAGCUUCUUGAUGAGCAUCAUACCGAUGUGUGCCUUCUAAGAAGGAGUCUUGAAAGGAGUUCCAUUUUAAAGUCUCCUUGGUGAUCAGUUCUCCUGUAGUUGUGUAUAUUCAGUGAGCAUGCAGCUUCUGUUGUAUCUUCCCUUGGAGGUUUGUUUAUACCCAUUGGGUUCCCAACAAGUUGAACCUUGCGUUACGAUAAAAGCAGAUGUGGCAUCCAAUCCUACCACCCAGCAAAGAGAAACCCCAGGCAUUCAACUGCAGCACAAAAUCGUGGGUGUAGCCUUCUUGAAGACUCAGGGACAGUCUCAUCGAACUCAAGGAAUCUUCAGCAAAGCUCUACAUUAAUCAUACUCCUCCACCACUGUCCAAGAGUAAGGAGAGAGAAAUGGACAAGAAAGAUUUGGACAAGUCAAGGGAAAGAUCCAGAGAAAGAGAGAAAAAAGAUGAAAAGGACAGGAAAGAGCGGAAAAGGGAUCACUCAAACAACGACCGUGAAGUGCCACCGGACUUAACCAAGAGACGUAAAGAGGAGAAUGGAACAAUGGGGGUUUCAAAACAUAAAAGUGAAAGUCCUUGUGAAUCUCCUUAUCCAAAUGAGAAAGACAAGGAAAAAAAUAAGUCAAAAUCUUCAGGCAAAGAAAAAGGCAGUGAUUCAUUUAAAUCUGAGAAGAUGGAUAAAAUCUCCUCCGGUGGCAAAAAGGGAGUCCAGGCAUGAUAA